CAUCAUAUGUUGGAAUCAUAAGAAACUGUUAUUUCUCGCAGCACUUUUCCUCUUUCUCUCCUACAUUUCCGGCGCGACGGGCAACGCCGCAGCCUCCACCAGUUUCAUAAAAAGCUCUUGUAAAUCCCCUACUUUUUCCGAUGUAUGCGUCGUUUCCCUUUCCGUAUACGCAAAAGCCAUUAAAAACAGCCAACUGCGGCUGGUUAAAACGGCUUUGUCCACUGCAAGCACAUUUUGUGUAUAGACGUGCAACUUCAGUGAUAUGGUUGUUCAGUCACAAUUGCAGUGCAGAUGACUUGAAAACCUUACCUGCACAAAAUAGUGAGUAAAUUAGUCGGGUUUCUACAGAGAGGAAUGACAAUGAUGAAAGAAGCAGCUCUUGAAACUUUAGCCUCUUUAGCUAUUUCAUCGCAGGUACUUCGCUUUCAGCGGUUCAAAAAAAACUUCUUUUGUUUAAAUCUCUGGUGUUCUAAACUUCAUUUUCCUUGGAUACUGCAGGAAGACUCUGCUUACAUAUAUGAUUCUGUAAUGCCUUAUCUUAAAGUUAUCUUGGAAACUGCUACUAAAGAUAGAAGUCGCACGCUACUUGCCAAAUCCAUGGAAUGCAUUACCAUGGUUACAAUGGAUUUUGGAAAUCAAGCAAUCCAUGGUUAUGUUGAAAAGGUGAAUACAAUUUAUAUCUUUCCAUUAGCACUUAGCAGGCAUUAUAUAAAUGUGACACUAUCAACAUAUCUGAAAAUGCAUUUACCUCAUGUGAUGUGCCAUUUUAGGUCACUGUAGUACUCAUUUCACUGCAAGAAACUCAAACAGAGAUAGAAGAUCCAAUGAGGAAAUUUUCGUUACUGGUAUGUUGAUACAACUUAGAAUUUUGUGCAACUUCCAUUUUCUUUUCAGUUUUUGGCUAAUUUACACUUGAUUCUAUGACAGGCAUACGGUAGACCAUGUAAAUGCUUGGGGGAAGAUUUCCUUCCUUAUCUAAUUCUUGCCAUGCCCAUUGUGCUAAAAUCUGCUCAGCUAAGUGUUUCCAAUAGUUCAGAUACAGAUAAUUCUGAUGAUGAAAGGUUGGAUCUUCCCAUAACAACUUGUACGAAAUUUAAUUUACAUGGAUGGUGUAGGUAUCAGUACUAUGUAAAGAUGUAGAUGGUGGUGAGUUUUCGUAUAUUUGAAUUUCAUUUCACCAUGUAUUAAGAGUUCCACACAUGCUAUACCAUCUGAAACUACUAUGUUGAAUCAGAAUGUAAAGAAAGCGAAUUCGUUAAGUGACUUCUGCAUAUCUGCCUGUUUAUUUAGAGACAACAUCUCGUAGUCAAAGGAAAACAUCUGGUAUUUCCAGGCACUUCAGGUUUCACAGAUGUUUUAUGAGGUUAUUAGUCACUGCACUUAAAUAGCACUGUUUGAUGAGAUAAAUUUCCAUUACUAACCUGAAAUGCAGUCUAUUGGAAACAGUCUCUCUACCUUCAAACGUAGGGGUAAGGUUUGUGCACACACUACCCUCCUCAGAUCCCACAAGUGGGAUUACACCGGGUAUGUUGUUGUUGUUGUAACCUGAAGUUGGUUGCAGGAAAAAGGUGAAAUAAACAACUUAUUGGAAAAAAAUUAAUGAGGAUGUUUUCAGCUGACAUAAGUAUCUUCUGUAGCAUGAUUAAAG